ensembl:lncRNA
CCUGUGUAUAGCUAUGUCUCACUCCCUGUGGCAUAGCUAGGUCUCUCUCUCUCCCUGUGGCAUAGAUAGAUCUCUCUCUCUCUCCCUUUGGCAUAGCUAGGUCUCUCCCUCUCCCUGUGGCAUAGCUAGGUCUCUCCCUCUCACUGUGGCAUGGCUAUGUCUCUCCCUCUCCCUGUGGCAUGGCUAUGUCUCUCCCCCUCCCUGUGGCAUAGCUAUGUCUCUCCCCGUCCGUGUGGCAUAGCUAGGUCUCUCUCUCUCCCUGUGUAUAGCUAGGUCUCUCUCUCUCCCGGUGUAUAGCUAUGUCUCUCUCUCUCCCUGUGUAUAGCUAUGUCUCUCUCCCUGUGGAAUAGCUAGGUCUCUCUCUCCCUGUGGCAUAGCUAGGUCUCUCUCUCUCUCCCUGUAGAAUAGCUAGGUCUCUCUCUCUCCCUGUGGCAUGGCUAUGUCUCUCUCCCUGUGUAUAGCUAGGUCUCUCUCCCUGUGGCAUAGCUAUGUCUCUCUCCCUGUGGAAUAACUAUGUCUCUCUCCCUGUGGAAUAGCUAGGUCUCUCUCUCUCCCUGUGGAUAGCUAGGUCUCUC